AGAAGAAACCCGCUGUUGCAUGUGAGAAAUUCGGAGAAGCCUCUACAUCGGCCAGGGCUUUCGGCCCUGGUCACCGCUGUCGUUUUGUCCUUUUUUUGGCGAAGCAGGACGGGUCUGCCCGAGAGGGCCCGGCGUCAAUCGACGCCCGCAGUUGGCAUCAGAAAUGUCAGGGCGGCCUGGAAGGGGCCAUUGUCAUGAUGGGCCUCUUCUGGGGGUCUAACCCUCUGGGAAGCCACUGCGAAGAUUGUGUGAUGACACUUGAGUGCGAUGCGUGGCGUGGCCCCCCCCCCAGGGGGGGAACCAUAAUUCGAUUCCGAUUAUUCUUCU
rnacentral:RNase_P_RNA from 1 species